UCUAGAACCGAUAACCCCCGUUCAACCUCACCACCUCUUGUUUUACCCGCCUAUAUACCACCGUCGUCAGCUUACCCUGUGAAGGCCCCAUAGUAAGCAAAAUGGACAAAACCCAA
rnacentral:rRNA from 1 species